AAAAACUCAAUUCCUGGGUUUCCGUGUCUAACGUUUGACCGUUUGUCUUAUUUAAAAAAUUAUGAAAAAAUUUAAAAAGAUAAGUCAUGCAUAAAGUAUUAUUCGUGUUUUAUCAUCUAAUAAUAAUAAAAAUAUUAAUCAUAAAAUAAUUUUAUAUAAGAUGGACGGUCAAACGUUGGAUAUGGAAACC
rnacentral:pre_miRNA from 1 species